UGUGUGUGUUAGUGGAAGCGUCUGGAAAGGCGCGCGAUACAGGGUGACAGCCCCGUACACAAAAAUGCACAUACUGUGAGCUCGAUGAGUAGGGCGGGACACGUGGUAUCCUGUCUGAAUAUGGGGGACCAUCCUCCAAGGCUAAAUACUCCUGACUGACCGAUAGUGAACCAGUACCGUGAGGGAAAGGCGAAAAGAACCCCGGCGAGGGGAGUGAAAAAGAA
rnacentral:rRNA from 1 species